UCGCGACUAACACAACUCUUGACAGGAACCCGAUACUGGUGCUUCUCCAAGCUUUCAUAAUAGCAGCAACAAGGGUUCUGCGAUUGGGGCUUUGACUCGUAUUACUCUUAAUUCGUUUUCUCCAGUACCUUGAAAUGUUGUAAUCCAAAGCCCAUUCGGCAAGGACUCCUUCAACUAAAGGGUUAGUGACAACGGUCCUAUGAUUGGGGUCUUGACCGGAGGGAUCGCUAUGCUGGGUAUUAUUCUUGUUCUAUUACCCAGCAUAGAACAAGAAUAAUACCCAGCAUAGCGAUCCCCUAGUUAUGGUGCCAAUCAAACGGCCUUGCUGAAUGGGCUAUGGAUUACAACAUUUGGAUUGGAAUUCGACAAUAGCAGAUUGUCAGAGAGAAAACACAUUUUUUCAUAUGAGAGAACGCACCAAUAUUGAGGAGCCUGAAAGUGAGUAGAGAUUUGGAGGGUGUUGCAGAUUGUCAGCUCCUCUCGAACAUUACGAGGCAAUAAAAACCUAAUUUGCAUGGAAUGCAAGCUGCAGAUACAGGUGGUAGUUUUUUUGGACAGUGGCAAAGAGGGUGUUACGUGUUUUGCAUGUAGUUGUUUGGACGAUUGGUUAUCAGGUCAAUUGCAUUAAGGCGCAUUCAUUUGGGUCAUUUUCCCGGUACCAAAUUUUGUGCCUGCUGCAAGGAAGGGAGGCGGCUUAUAGAACAAGCAAUACACAGGAGGAAUUGCUACAUCUCUUCUAUUUUCAACUUUCAAAUCAUGGCUUGUUGCUGAACAUUUCAAGAGGGGUUUUGAUCCAUAAUGGCUGUCAUUGACAUUCUCAAAGGCAAUGUUGUUGGGCAAGGAUUUACUCACAUAGUUCAUGGGUGCUUCUUUUGGCCAUUGCUUCUGGGAUUAGAUGACAAAAUUGUACUUCUAGGAGCUAUACAAUCAUUAUUUGAAGGUUCAAUGUACACAUUUGUGUUUCUUUGGAAACCUGCUUUGAGUCCAAAUGAAUAGGAUAUUCCUCAUGGGUUCCUAUUUGCUAAAUUUAUGCUGGCUUCAAUGAUGGGAAGUUCACUGGCCUCUAGACUUUUGGCUCGCCCAGCACUCAAGGUGGAAAGCUACAUGCAGAUUGUCUUUGUUGUCUUUGUUGCAGCAUUACUCCAAGUAUACCCGAUACUAGAGUAUAUGCUCCUCCAAGCUUUCACAAUAGCAGCAGCAAGGGUCCUGCGAUUGGGGCCUUGACCGGAGGGGUUGCUAUGGUGGGUAUUACUCUUGAUUCUUUUUCUCCAGUACCAUGAAAUGUUGUAAUCCAUAGCCCACUCUGCAAGGACUACUUCAACUUAAGGGUUAGGGUUAGUGGUAAGGGUCCUGUGAUUGGGACUUAACUGAAGGUUUCGCUAUGGUGGGUAUUACUCUUGUUCUAAAAAUUUACCCAACAUAGCGGCCCCUCUAGCAAUGCGCUAAUCACAGGACCCUUGCCACUAACCCUUUAGUUGAAGGAGGCUAACUGAAUGGGCUUUGGAUUACAACAUUUCACAUCUGCACUUGGUCAUGGAACUGCCGCUCCAUCCACAUCUACACUUGCCAACCAAACUGCUGCUCCAUCCAGUACAUCUGCACUUGCCAACCAAUUCAGGUUUUGGGAAUAUCCUGCAUGAUAUUAAACGGAAAAAAUCAGGUUUGUUAGUUUUGAAAGGGAACUUGCUCAUAUUCUCUCUCAGUUGCAAGGAUGGAUUCAUGUCAAUUUUCUCUGUACAAAAGCAUUUAAUCAAACUUAAAAUCUGGCUUUCGUUAAACUUCAUGUCUACAAUUUGUAAUUUUUGAGAGUAAAAUAU